rnacentral:rRNA from 1 species
CACGGAGGGGGCUAGCGUUGUUCGGAAUUACUGGGCGUAAAGCGCACGUAGGCGGCUUUGUAAGUUAGAGGUGAAAGCCCGGGGCUCAACUCCGGAAUUGCCUUUAAGACUGCAUCGCUAGAAUUGUGGAGAGGUAAGUGGAAUUCCGAGUGUAGAGGUGAAAUUCGUAGAUAUUCGGAAGAACACCAGUGGCGAAGGCGACUUACUGGACACAUAUUGACGCUGAGGUGCGAAAGCGUGGG